UGCCAGCCGCCGCGGUAAUACGGGGGGUGCAAGCGUUGUUCGGAAUUAUUGGGCGUAAAGAGCGCGUAGGCGGCCAGAUAAGUCAGAUGUGAAAGCCCGGGGCUCAACCCCGGAAGUGCAUUUGAAACUAUUUGGCUUGAGUAUGGGAGAGGGAAGUGGAAUUCCUGGUGUAGAGGUGAAAUUCGUAGAUAUCAGGAGGAACACCGAUGGCGAAGGCAUCUCUCUGGACCGAUAUUGACGCUGAGGCGCGAAGGCGUGGGUAGCGAACGGGAUUAGAUA
rnacentral:rRNA from 1 species